rnacentral:rRNA from 1 species
UACGUAGGGUGCAAGCGUUAAUCGGAAUUACUGGGCGUAAAGCGUGCGCAGGCGGUUUUGUAAGUUUGUCGUGAAAUCCCCGGGCUUAACCUGGGAACUGCGCUUGUUACUGGCAGACUGGAGUGUGGCAGAGGGGGGUGGAAUUCCAGGUGUAGCAGUGAAAUGCGUAGAGAUGUGGAGGAACACCGAUGGCGAAGGCAGCCCCCUGGGCUAACACUGACGCUCAUGCACGAAAGCGUGGGGAGCAAACAGG